UUGUUAAAAAUCAGACAUAAAAUACUUUCUUCGCUAAUUUUAACAGCAGCCAUUGUCACGUAUAGUCUGAUCGAAGGUUUUCUAGACAACCGAAUAUUUUCUUUGUUGGUUAAUGGACAACUUAAUUUUGCUUUACUUCAGCUUUAAAAAAAAUCAAGGGAUUUUUUUUUCAUUGAAAUAACUUCUCUUUAAUAAGUCUUAAGGAAAUUAUAGUAUCCUCGUUAAUUGCCUGAUUCUACCAAGUACUUUUAGGCUAGUUAGGAAAAUGGUAUAGUGAGUGAACGAAAGGUUCACUACGUUAACACUGCAACGGUCGUGAUCUUUGUUUAUAACGGACGGUCCGUAUAUAGACUUAUUCCUAUAUUGGUGCUUAUAUCAUAAUGCUCAAAAGGUAGCUUGGCUCUGUCAAUGAGGCGACAACACAGUAUGAUCAUGACGUAUAUCCCCCGUUCAUGGUAUGAUUGAACACGAUAUUCUGGGAAAGAGAAAGUAGCCAAUAGGACUUCCGCUAGAGACAGACAUGUCAACUGACCGCACUUUCAUCAUGUUUUUAAAACCAUUCAGAAAGAACCUCAAACUGCGAUGAAAACUCAGACAGAAAAAAAUUGCGUUCAGGGGUAGAGAAACAGUUUCCCGAAACUAACCAAGUGACCAGGUUGCCGAACUAAUUCCAGGCAAAGGUGACAUGACACAAAUGAAGGUGGAAACUCACACUGAUGAUCA